rnacentral:rRNA from 1 species
AGCGAGCGCUGGCGGCAAGCUUAACACAUGCAAGUCGAACGAUGUAGCAAUACAUAGUGGCGGACGGGUGUCUAACACGUGGGAAUCUGCCCUUAGGUUCGGAAUAACUCAGGGAAACUUGAGCUAAUACCGUAUAAUAUCUCCGGAUCAAAGAUUUAUCGCAUUGAGACGGGCCCGCGUCGGAUUAGCUAGUUGGUAAGGGAACGGCUUACCAAGGCAACGAUCCGUAGCUGAUCUGAGAGGAUGAUCAGCCACACUGGGACUGAGACACGGCCCAGACUCCUACGGGAGGCAGCAGUGGGGAAUCUUGGACAAUGGGCGCAAGCCUGAUCCAGCCAUGCCGCGUGAGUGAAGAAGGCCUUCGGGUUGUAAAGCUCUUUUGUCAGGGACGAUAAUGACGGUACCUGAAGAAUAAGCCCCGGCAAACUUCGUGCCAGCCGCCGCCGUAA